rnacentral:rRNA from 1 species
UACAGGGGGUGCAAGCGUUGCUCGGAAUUAUUGGGCGUAAAGGGUAGGUAGGUGGUCUCAUUUGUCUAGGGUGAAAUCCUUGGGCUUAACUCAAGAAGUGCCCUAGAAACGGUGAGACUGGAGUCCUGGAGAGGGUCGUGGAAUUCCCGGUGUAGCGGUGAAAUGCGUAGAGAUCGGGAGGAACACCAGAGGCGAAGGCGGCGACCUGGACAGGUACUGACACUCAACUACGAAAGCGUGGGGAGCAAACAGG